rnacentral:tRNA from 5 species
GCGCAGGUAGACCUGUAGGGGGCAGGGGUUGACUGUAAAUCAAUUGCCCACCGGGCCCCGUGAGUUCGACUCUCACCCUGCGCACCA